AUUUGCUGAGCCACCACCACUGCGCUUAUCUUUGUGUUGAGUGGUCUGUCCAGGGUCCUCACAGUCUCCUGCUUCAGGAAUUGAUGAUACUCUCUGGUUCUUCUUGGAGACAACCCACCUGUGUCCACUGAAGAAUGCUUGUAGGAUCUCUAGGAUGCCCUGGAACUUCUGCUGCCUCUAGCUCAACUCAAAUGAGGUCUCCACGGAAAGACCUUCCCCAAGCACCCAGAUGAACAGCCCAGUUAAACUGCCC